rnacentral:rRNA from 1 species
CCUACGGGAGGCAGCAGUGAGGAAUAUUGGUCAAUGGACGAGAGUCUGAACCAGCCAAGUAGCGUGAAGGAUGACUGCCCUAUGGGUUGUAAACUUCUUUUAUAUGGGAAUAAAAUGUUCCACGUGUGGGUUUUUGUAUGUACCUUAUGAAUAAGGAUCGGCUAACUCCGUGCCAGCAGCCGCGGUAAUACGGAGGAUCCGAGCGUUAUCCGGAUUUAUUGGGUUUAACGGGAGCGUAGGUGGAUUGUUAAGUCAGUUGUGAAAGUUUGCGGCUCAACCGUAAAAUUGCAGUUGAUACUGGCAGUCUUGAGUACAGUAGAGGUAGGCGGAAUUCGUGGUGUAGCGGUGAAAUGCUUAGAUAUCACGAAGAACUCCGAUUGCGAAGGUAGCUCACUGGACUGCAACUGACACUGAGGCUCGAAAGUGUGGGUAUCAAACAGGAUUAGAUACCCUUGUAGUC